CGACUUAGCAACUGAACAACCACAAAAGUUUUCAACUCCUGUGAGUAAAUACCAAGGAGCACGAUUGCUGGAUCAUAUAGUAAGAGUACAUUUAGUGUUGUAAGAAACUGCCAAACUGUCUUCCAAAGGGGCUGUGCCCUUCCCACCAGCAGUGAACGAGAGUUCCUGCUGCUUGGCAUCCUCACGAGCACUCAAUGUGGUCAGUGUUCUGGAUUUGGGCCAUUCUACUAGGCUGCCACGUCACACUGAGCAGAGUUCCGUGCGCGAUACUGCAGUUUCCUGUUGUUUUCAUUCUGUAUCUGCGACGUGAAAUAUUUUCUGCGCUAUGCUCUACCAGUAAAGAAGGCUUUUCAAAAUGCAGAUUUCUGAACCCAGAUUAAAAGAAGCCAGCUACUUUGGAAGCCACCAGCUUCUUCCUCUUCAAUAAGUGCUGAGAGUUGGGGGGAUUCAAGUCUCAGCCAUCUGCUGCACCAGCCAUCUUUCACAGCAAACAAGGAAUUAGGAAGUGAACAAUGAAGCAGAAAUGGUCCCAGAUAGCUAGAUGCAUACAAAAGAAUGAUUUCACCAAGCCUGGACACUUAUCUUCCCAUACAUAGAAGAUCGCUAAAUCUCUUCACGUGAGAGAUUUAGGUUUUCUUACUUAACCUUUCAAUAUUCAGAUUACCUGCCCCUUGCUGCAAACUUGUAUAUAACCUGGCUUCUCCCUUGCCUCCUCCGAGUCAGCUGUCUCAGGGUCACCUGAGAUACUGUCUCCUGGGCCCAAGUCCUAACAUUCCCACCGAAUAAAACCAAACUCUCAG
ensembl:lncRNA